UGAGGUUCAUCGACAGACAAAGCACAAUAUUUUUGGACAUCACGAUCUUCUUCAUUAUCAAAGGUAUUGACUUGAUUUCUUCAAAAUCAGUGUAAAAAUUCAUAUGUUGUUGAUUUAUCGUUUGGGCUGUGCGAUUGCUUUCCUCUGAGAAGGAGAAGAAGAAGAAAAAGAAGAGGGAAACGGGAAGGAUUUCACUGUUCUUCAAGUCAGCACGGGUGGGUGAUGUUCGAUUUGAACAGAAAUCGAGUAAAUUGAUCAUCCCAGUUAUUCAAGUUUGGCCAGUGCAGUCCGUUUGCAUACCUGAAGGUUCUAAUACUAGCAAAGAGCAAUGAGGAGGAGAGUGGUGCCUUCCAUUAUUAUCUAUCAAGCAACAUACUAUCUCCUUGGAGGUCACUGACAGCAAAGGGAUCUUCAUUUUAAGA